CCUACGGGAGGCAGCAGUGAGGAAUAUUGGUCAAUGGACGAGAGUCUGAACCAGCCAAGUAGCGUGAAGGAUGACUGCCCUAUGGGUUGUAAACUUCUUUUAUAUGGGAAUAAAAUGUUCCAAGUGUGGGAUUUUGUAUGUACCAUAUGAAUAAGGAUCGGCUAACUCCGUGCCAGCAGCCGCGGUAAUACGGAGGAGCCGAGCGUUAUCCGGAUUUAUUGGGUUUAAAGGGAGCGUAGGUGGAUUGGUAAGUCAGUUGUGAAAGUUUGCGGCUCAACCGUAAAAUUGCAGUUGAAACUGGCAGGCUGGAGUACAGUAGAGGUGGGCGGAAUUCGUGGUGUAGCGGUGAAAUGCUUAGAUAUCACGAAGAACUCCGAUUGCGAAGGCAGCUCACUGGACUGCAACUGACACUGAGGCUCGAAAGUGUGGGUAUCAAACAGGAUUAGAUACCCGUGUAGUC
rnacentral:rRNA from 1 species